AUGCAGCGGCACCUAAUGGUGACAGUUGUUAAAGCGGGGGAUCGUAAGACCUCGCGUCUAAAGAGGAGCCUGCGGCAGAUUAGCUAGUUGGUAAGGUAAUGGCUUACCAAGGCGAUGAUCUGUAGCCGGCCUGAGAGGGCGGUCGGCCACACUGACACUGACAUACGGGUCAGACUCCUACGGGAGGCAGCAGUCGGGAAUUUUGGGCAAUGGGCGAAAGCCUGACCCAGCAACGCCGCGUGAAGGAUGAAAUCCUUCGGGAUGUAAACUUCGCAAGAACGGGAAGAAUAAGUAAGAGCUAACAUCUCUUACGAUGACGGUACUGUUUGUAAGCUCCGGCUAACUCCGUGCCAGCAGCCGCGGUAAUACGGGGGGAGCAAGCGUUGUUCGGAUUUACUGGGCGUAAAGGGCGCGUAGGCGGCCACCGCAAGUCAGUUGUGAAAUCUCUGGGCUUAACUCAGAAAGGUCAACUGAUACUGCGGGGCUAGAGUGCAGAAGGGGCAACUGGAAUUCUCGGUGUAGCGGUGAAAUGCGUAGAUAUCGAGAGGAACACCUGCGGCGAAGGCGGGUUGCUGGGCUGACACUGACGCUGAGGCGCG
rnacentral:rRNA from 1 species